rnacentral:lncRNA from 1 species
AAUGAGAAUUUUAACAGAGUUUCGAGAUAGAGUUUAGAGCUUAAAGAAGAACGUAUCUGGAGGUCCCUUUUUAUAGACGGAGAGCGUAACUGAUUGGCAGUGACGUCUGUAACCGCUUGGUAGUGGGCCGUUCGGGGCCACACGGAGUUUGUUAUGGAGAGUAGUGGCGUCAGGGGGUCGUUCAGGGCCACGUAGAGUUUGUUAUGGAGAGUGGAGUAGUGUUUGUUGUCCCAACUUGCCAG